rnacentral:rRNA from 1 species
CCUACGGGCGGCAGCAGUGAGGAAUAUUGGUCAAUGGCCGAGAGGCUGAACCAGCCAAGUCGCGUGAGGGAAGACGGCCCUACGGGUUGUAAACCUCUUUUGACGGGGAGCAAAGCGCGUGACGCGUGACGCAUCGAGAGUACCCGAAGAAAAAGCAUCGGCUAACUCCGUGCCAGCAGCCGCGGUAAUACGGAGGAUGCGAGCGUUAUCCGGAUUUAUUGGGUUUAAAGGGUGCGCAGGCGGAGGUGCAAGUCAGCGGUAAAAUUGCGGGGCUCAACCCCGUACUGCCGUUGAAACUGCAUCCCUUGAGUGCGCGAGAAGUAUGCGGAAUGCGUGGUGUAGCGGUGAAAUGCAUAGAUAUCACGCAGAACUCCGAUUGCGAAGGCAGCAUACCGGCGCGCAACUGACGCUCAUGCACGAAAGCGUGGGUAUCGAACAGGAUUAGAUACCCUUGUAGUC